UGGGAAUGGAGAGGGAGUGAGUCCAUAAGGUGUGUGGAUUAUAUAAGGGCCGGAGAGUCAAUGGGAAACAGGUGUGGCAGGUUGACAUGAUUAUGAUGAGCGGAUCUGGAACUGGUGUGGAGGAUCAGGGAAGUGAGGAGUGAAUGGAGGAGCGGCCGAACAG